rnacentral:rRNA from 1 species
UACGUAGGUGGCAAGCGUUGUCCGGAUUUAUUGGGUUUAAAGGGUGCGUAGGCGGUUUUCUAAGUCAGCAGUGAAAUACGGCAGCUCAACUGUCGAGGUGCUGUUGAUACUGGGGAACUUGAGUACUGAUGAGGUAGGCGGAAUGGACGGUGUAGCGGUGAAAUGCUUAGAGAUGACAUAGAACACCCAUUGCGAAGGCAGCUAACUACGCGAUAAUUGACGCUGAUGCACGAAAGCGUGGGGAUCAAACAGG